AAACGGAACACGGUGCAAAUCCGUGACGGUCCCGCCGCUGUAACCGGAAUACAGGGGUCGCACUCCCCGCAAGGGAAGCCACUGAUCAUGCGGAUAUGAUCGGGAAGGCGCGAUCUGGCAGUCUCCGGAAGUCAGAAGACGU
rnacentral:ncRNA from 2 species